rnacentral:lncRNA from 7 species
UCUUAAUGAGGUGCCUUAGAGCUGAGUUACUUAGCAGGGUCACAUGGAUUGUGAGCGAGUGCACAGCCUUCAGGUGGCCUUCAUAGCUCUGAGGAUCUUCAGCACACCGCUGCAUCAGGCCGACUACUUGCACAAGUCCCUGCCUCAAUUCCUGUUUAUCUUUGGGAUUACCAGCUUCACAUUCAUAGACCUUAAACCUUGAUUGAAUUCUGCGUGGAAAGGAAUGAGCCUAGGAGCUUUUUGUAACACAGUCUCUGUGCCCUGACAAGCUCGUGGUGUGCCAUCACCUGCAAACCUGUAGUCCUGCCGGAAAAGGGGAAAUAAAAGCGUGAGAUUUGGGAUGGGGAAGAGAUGGAGAGUAGCUUUGCUCAACUAAUUAAUUACAGGCAGGAGAGAGGAGAACAAGGGAGAAGCCAUAAAUUGUAGGGAUCUUUCUAUUCUUCUGUGGGACAUCUUGCUUUUCCUUUCCAAGAGAGCUCAGUAAAGUCUUGAACAAAGGGAAUCUAAGCUUGCUCACUUGUGCACGGAGGUCCAGCACUCAUGUGGUGCAGACCCUGUCCUCAGGACAGUGAUGAGCAAUCCCACCAGGAUCAGAUGGAAGCCAGUGGGAAGUUUUAGUGAUGAAGGGACAAAUUAAAUGAGAAGGGAAGAGCAUUUUCUGGCCGACGCUGCUUGGAUAAGGGGAGCUGAAACAAGGGCACACAGUAGGCUGUGACUUUCCAGGUGUGCUGGCAAAGAGGCUAUGUGAAGGAGUGUUUGCUGCCCGUGAGCUUGGCAGCUCCUUUCCUUGUGCUGGUGGCUAUGAACAUCCAGGUAGAGCUGGAAGAGGAAACCCCACCACCUAACUGAAGGAGAGGCUUGGCAAAGCAAGAGAGCAUCUCUGACAAGGUUCUGGGUAUGGGCAAAGAAAGAAGUGCCUUCCUGUGAAGGCUGUGGCUAUUCAGCAAGCUUGGUCUGCUCCCUACAAUUGCUGUGUUUCUGCCAAUGAGACCUCCUCUUCUCCAACAGGAAUUCAGGGCAAUACCUCAGCAUUAUUCAAGAAGUCCCAUCCUAUGUACAGAUCCUUAUGAUAUUCACUCACAGCAGAUGUGUAGCUUGAUGUGGUGCAGGCAGGGCUGAGGACCAAGGUCCUGAGUUGCUCCAGGCUAACUGUUGAAUCCUUCGCAUAUUGCCACCCU